rnacentral:rRNA from 1 species
AUUGAACGCUGGCGGCAUGCUUUACACAUGCAAGUCGGGCGGCAGCACGGGGAGGCUUGCUUCUUGGUUUUCGAGUGGCGAGGGUGUGUGUAACAUGGCUGAACUUACCGAGCGGUUGGGGAUAACUAAUGGAACGAUUAGCUAAUACCGCAUAUUUUCUGAGCAAGAAGGCUGGAGACCUUUGGGCCUUGCUGUGGUUGAGCGGCGGAUAUCUGAUUAGCUAGUUGGUGGGGUAAAGGCCUACCAAGGCGACGAUCAGUAGCGGGUCUGAGAGGAUGAUCGGCCACACUGGGACUGAGACACGGUCCAGACUCCUACGGGAGGCAGCAGUGGGGAAUUUUGGACAAUGGGCGCAAGCCUGAUCCAGCCAUGCCGCGUGUCUGAAGAAGGCCUUCGGGUUGUAAAGCCCUUUUGUUAGGGAAGAACAGAGGGGGGUUAAUACCCGUGUAUGAUGACGGUACCUGAAGAAUAAGCCACGGCUAACUACGUG